AACAUACCCCGUCCACUGGCUGAGGCACAGAUACCGUGACCGCCGCCCUCAGUGUCCAGGACCACGCAGACGCAGCAGGGAUUCAUAGGAGAUGGAUACAUCUAUCCAACCAAGAAUCACAGUCUCGACUUCAGACGAACGGCCAACUCCCAGGACUGAUCUCGGUUGCGCUCUACACGCUAGUAGCGGAGCCCAAAUACACGGGGCCAUCCUGGUCUCCCCACUCUCCUUGUGUCCCAGUAACAUCCGCAGCUCUACGCCCCAAGUCGGUCUCCAGUCCCGACACUAAUUCCCACAUGCAGCACAGCCCUGCCCCAAGCCCCAGUCUUGGGCCCGACUCCUGCAUGGGGCCCAGAAGAGGUUCCCUGCUCCUCGGUGCAGCUCACAUCUACCCCCGAGGAGAUCUUUCUGGAACACAAAUGACAGCAUGACACUUGUCCACCUGUAACUCCACCCAAAGGUUUCUCGAUACUUGCUGGGGUGUCUUUUGGAAGAGGCACCUGCUCCUGAGAGCCCCCGACACCCUCAACUGACGCUGUUGACUCCCAGGUUUCCCAACAGGGAGCACUUCCUGGGGCGGGUCAACUGGGCAUUCCAGUGGUCAGAUGACACAGACUGACACCUCAAACUACUCACCCCAGCAGGGGGCUGGCUCCUGUGCUGCAAAGAGUUCAAAGACAGGUUCCCCAGCUGGGAUCAAACCACUGCCCGUGUGGUGUUUCCCUUGGCCACUGCAUCACACCCAUGGGACUUGAUGGAAGGAGGGACCAGAGCACAUGUUUCUAGGCAGGAUGUUACAGGCUAAAUGAUGUCCCUCAAAAUCCAUAUGUUCAAGUCCUACCCCCACCCCCAGCACCUCAGAAUGCGGAUGUAUUUGGAUAUAGGGUCUUGAAAGAGGUAAUUAAAUCAAAAUGAGGUCAUUAGGAUUGGCCCUGAUCCCAAAGGACUGGAGUCCUAGAAGAUGAGGAGACAGACAUACGCAGAGGGACAACCACAAGAGGACCCGGAUAAAGAUGAUAUCUACACACCCAGGAGAGAGGGCUCUGCAGGAACCAGCCUCAGCCCUGCCUGGAUCUCAGACUCCCAGCCUCCAGAACCCUGAGAAAUGAAUACCUAUGGUCUAAGCCGCCCAGUCUGGGGUAUUUGCUAUGGCAGCUCGAGCAUGCCGUGAAAAUAUCAGGUCUCAGAACUGACAGAACCUGCCACUUGUUCCCCUGGUACACAAGUCACAGGGGCCCCAGGGACAGGAUCGUUGAGGGAUGCAGGGACCUGGCUCCGGACCCUCAUGGUCUGGAUGCAGCAUCUGCCUGAUGCUGUGAGCACCUUCUAUGUAGCAGGUCCUUUGCAUCAAUGGUCACAUGGGAGCGUCACAGCAGUCCUUGGACUGGGACAUCCUUAUAUACGGUUUGCUCAUGGUGUAGCAACUGAGGCCCCAAGAGGGAAGUGGGUGUCCUGCAUCACACGCUGGUAAAUGGCAAAACCAGACUCCCAAGCACGUCUGCACGCUGACUCAAACUCCCUGUGCCAUCUGUACGUGAGGCAGAAUGGUUUCAGCCUUCGAGCAGGGAAAAUAUUGUUUUCCCAGGGGCAGUGGUCCAUCGGGACGAGGUGCUGGGCUGCCAGACGGGGGCUGCCAGACGGGCUCAAGAGUGAUAAUGAGAACAGGCCUGGUGCGUAAGCAGCACGGACUUCUCUGCCUUGUCGGGCCAUGCCUCCCGGCCACCACGGCGCCCUCCCCUUGUGCUCUGGAUUAUCAUCCAUUCAUUCAUUUCAAACACCCUUUCUGGCCUUCCAGGCACCAGGAGCUGGUUCCUGCCCUGUACCCACCAGGGACGUCCAGACACAUUCUACAUCUGAGUCCAAGUGAGCGCCCUGCCCCUGAGCGGCCACUGUCGUCCCCCCUCCCCGACCACUCUCUGGGUGCGUGGCCCCUGACCAGGACUCUCCCUUUAGGGACCAGGCCCUGAAGUGGCACCUGGGGGUUGUCCGCAUCUUUUGGUCUCACCGACGUCCCCAGGAAGAGUGAAGGCAGAGGCCGACUUUGCUGCAUCACUUAGACCUGGGUCGUGGCGAGCCCAUGCUGCACAAAGUGGUGUCUGUAAAGGGUUCGUCACAUCCUGUGGCCCCUGGCUCCAAGGCUGCUGGAGAACACAAAGGCGACACCAUAGUAUCUCUAGGUGGCACUGAGGGCAUUUAACGUCACUCGGACCACAGUGGGAGCACGUCCCCUUGUUACCUACACUCACUGGCACUUUGGAACCGUAAGCGUGCGGCUCGUGUCAGAUGCGGGAUUGGCCAUUCCCUACCAGGCAUCUGUGAUUACAGUGGAUUUGCUUAGUAUAUUUUUUUUUAAUUUUUUAACGUUUAUUUAUUUUUGAGAGAGACAGAGCGUGAGUGGGGGAGGGGCAGGAAGAGAGGCAAACACAGAAUCUGAAGCAGGCUUCAGGCUCUGAGCUGUCAGCACAAAGCUCUAUGCGGAGCUCGAGCUCGCAAAGCGUGAGAUCAUGACCUGAGCCGAAAUCGGACGCUUAACCGAGUAAGCCACCCAGGCACCCCUGCUUGUUAGUAUUUUUUAAAUGACACCGUCUGGAUGUGAACAUGGCUGCUCUACUCACAGCAUCUUGGAGAGGCAGAGGCGAGAAUCACCAGAGCAACAAACACGUCACCGGGUUCACUCCCAGUCACUGAGAAAGCUCUCAUUACAUAUAUGUUCACCUGAGGGGCACCUGGGGGGCUCAGUCAAGUAAGCAUCCAACUCUUCUUUUUUUUUUUUUUAAUUUUUUUAAUGUUUAUUUAUUUUUGACAGAGAGACAGAGCAUGAGCUGGGGAGGAGCAGAGAGAGACGGAGACACAGAAUCCGAAGCAGGAUUCAGGCUCCGAGCUGUCAGCACAGAGCCCGACGCGGGGCUCGAACUCACGGACCGUGAGAUCAUUACCUGAGCUGAAGUCGGGCACUCAGCUGACUGAGCCACCCAGGCGCCCCUCAACUCUGGAUUUAGGCUCAGUUCACGGUCUCACGGUUCAUGGCUUUGAGCCCCGCAUCGGGCUCUGUGCUGACAGUGCAGAGAAUGCUUGGGAUUCUCUCUCUCUCUCUCUGCUUCUCCUCUCCUUCUCUCUCUCUCAAAUAAACUUAAAAAAAAAUUAUUUUUAAAUAUGUUCACCUGAGUGCACAUUUCGAGGCAGCAAUGUUACAAGUACCCUAAAUACACACUGAGGGGUGACUGUGCUCCUCUGGGGCACAAACACGAGGGACAUGUACCAAGUUACCUGCUACUCCAGCAUCUGCAAAGCCCAACAAGGGCCCCACAGUAAUUGUGUUAGUUGAAUUCUCUAAUAACGCACAAAAGCUUGUAAUAGGUAUUUUUUUUAAAAAAAAAGCAAUAGAAGAGAUUUUAGGCAUAACACAACCACAUUCAGGUUUAAUGCACCCUAUCCACAUUCCCACAAGGUGGUUUCGUUCUUGCCAAUUUUCUGCGCCUACAUCGGCACCUCCAGACUGAACCACAGAACUUUGCUGUGACUGCGUCCAUAGCUUAACAAGCGAUGUGAGCCACCUCCUAUGGGGCUUCCAAAACAAGGAAACAGCAGAGUCCAUAGUAACGUGUAAUUCACAUAGUAUACGGACCCAGAGACUGUGAACCAGGAGCCUGGCGACCCCACUGUGGCAGAGGCUCCUUGCCAGAAGCCGUCUUCCUACCUUAUUCCUGCUCAUGUCUGCACUGCGCUUCCCAGCCUAUCCCCACCUUGGAGUGUGGACUCCACGUCCCUGGGUGUUCCCAAGGGGAUGUAGUCGGAUCCGUGAGGGUCUUAGGACAAGGGGUCUGGCUCCUGCACGGUCACCCAAACAGCCCCACCCACUACUGGUGGGAACCCUCCAUCCAGAAGGAGGAGGGAGAAACCACAUGGACAGGGCUUGACCGGCCUGAGAUUCACAUGACGAAGACAAGGCCUGAAUCUUUCAUCUCUGAUGUGUUGGGACGCUCUGCUGUGGUAACAUCUGUUGCCCUAAACACAAAGGUGCUUUGCAAACCCCUCCACGAUUGUGACAAAAAAAAAAUAAGGCUUAAUGGAACUCACUUCCCCAAGCCACAGCCCACACUAGAAGGGUACUCAGAGAGCCUCACUCAGGUACAUGGGGCUUGAAAGCCGGGGCCCCUUUGAAAGGCUAAUCCCUCAGUUCAGGUCCCGCCCACCUCCGCCUUCCCCGUGGAGGAGAAGUUUCCUUGACAACCCUGACAAACCUGCUCGGUUCCCUUGGCAACCAACUUUCUGAAUUGCCCAAGCCUUCCCCAUUAACAGCAUUCCUAUUUCAGUCUUGCAGAGCCUACAGUGACUGUGCUGUCAUUAUGUUCCAGCGAUCAAUUACUCCAAACCUGCAAUUAUUGGCUACAUGAGGUUAUUAAUCAUAAAAUCCCGUAAGAACCAGCGUUACAAGGUGACUAAUUCUGCACUCGGCACCCAUGAAAAGGAUGGGGUAACUGUUCUCAUGGUCGAAGAGCCUGCCUUGUGAUGGAGCCAGGACUUGGGUUCCUUCCAUCAGAGAUUUUUCAGUGUCCCUAUACCCACACCCCAAUAAUACUGCUGUCAACACCAGUCCAUAGAAGACCUGACUCAUCCAGGAUGAAAGAAUUAUCUUAACACAGAUAGUGGACUGAAUGGUGACCUCCAGAAGGGGUUUCUCCAAGAACAUGUGAACAGGACCUUAUUUGGGAAAGGGUUCUUUGCAGUGAAGGAUUUUGAGCUGACACUACCCUGGGUCAGGGUGGCUCUAAGUCCAGUGACAGGGGUCCUUAGAAGAGACAGAGGAGACACGGAUACAGAGGAGGGGACAUACUCCCGAGAAGCCACGUGAAGACAGAGGUAGAGUUGGAAGGGACACGGCCACAAGCCCAGGAGCCACAGAAGCUGCAAGAGGCAGGAAGGACCCUCUUCUGGAACCUCUGGAGGGGGUGUGGUCCUGCCCCUCCUGGAUCUCAGCCUUCUGGUCUCCAGAACUGGAGGAGGGUAGACUUCGGUAGUUGUAAGCCAACCAGCUGAUUUCGUUUGUGACCGCAACCAUAGGAAGCUAAUUCCCACAGAAAGUAUGUUCUGUCCUCUUUGCUCGGAUCCUGGACGCAGCUCACGUAAACGCUAACAUUUGGGCACUGUGAAUGCACAUUAUAUAGGAAUUCUUUGUACCAUAUUGUUGCCUUUUGGAAAGUCUGUCAUUGUGUCCAAACAUUGAAACUUCUCGACAGAAGUCUUAUGUUUAUGCUUGCUACGGAGACAUUCUCUGCUCACUAAUAUGUCUGUGCCUUUGCUCUGGGAGGAACUUGAUGGACUGGUGCAAGAACACCUGCUCUUUGUCUCAAGUUAUUCAAAGGCCACAUAAGCACACGCAACAAAAGAAAAAUACACAAAUGGGACUACCAACUUAAAAGCUUCUGCAGAAGCUGAAAGGAGACCUGGAGUGAAAACUAAUCCCAAAUCCUACUUCUGAUAAGGGUUGGUAUUCAGAAUAUACAGAGAACUCCUACAAUAAAAGCGAGUGAGCUACUCAAUAGGUAGACCUGAACAGACAUUUCUCCAAGACGACACAAAGCUGGCCAACAGACAUAUGAAAAGAUGCUCAGCAUCCCUGGUCAUUAAACACACAUGGGAAGCACAAGGAGAUACCACCUCACGCCCACUAGGAAGGCCACUAUCAACACAGAAAACAAGAAGCAUUGAUGAGGAUGUGGAGAAAUCAAAACCCUCAUGCACUGUGGGUGGGAAUGAAAAACGGUGCAGCCACCAUGGAAAACAGUAUGGAGGUUCCUUGAUAAACUAAACAUAGAACUACCCUUUGACCCAGCGAUCUCACUUCUGUGCACAUAGCCAAAAGAAUUGAAAGGAGGAGCUUAGAUAUUUGGAUGCCUGUGCUCAUGGCAACAUCAUUCACAACAGCCGAGAGGUGGAAACAGCCCAGAUUGUAAGGGUUAAAUUGUAGUGUAGGGCUAACACGUAGCCUUAAGAAAUAACAGCUUUAACACUAUAGGUUAGGAGACAACAGCCUUAUCCUAUCAAUCAAGGGAUGGAUUAGUGUUUGAUUGCAUUGGGGCAAGGGCUUGUUUGAACUGUUUCCACCUGGGAACUAUUCCUUUGUUCUGCUCCCAGGUGAUAAGACAAUGUGGUCGGCUAUAAAAACUCUGUACCCCAGCUGUUCGAGACCGCACUCUGGUGAAGAGUGUCGGUCCCGAUCGGUCGGUUUGCCUUGCCUCUCAUUGCAAUAAACUUUGUUGUGACGGUCACUGGCGCCCGUAGCAUUCUGUUUCAGGAGUCGUGUGGAUGCAACAAGACGUCUCUGGGAAGAUGGGCACAGAAGAUGUGGCAUAUACAAUGAAGUAUUAUUCAGUCACAAAAAAGAAAGAAAUCCAUGGGAACGCAAGCUGGUGCAGCCUCUCUGGAAAACAGUAUGGAGGUUCCUCCAAAAACUAAAAAUAGAACUACCCUACGACCCAGCAAUUGCACUACUAGGCAAUUAUCCACGGGAUACAGGUGUGCUCUUUCGAAGGGACACGUGCACCCCCACGUUUAUAGCAGCACUAUCCACAAUAGCCAAAGUAUGGAAAUAGCCCAAAUGUCCGUCGACGGAUGAAUGGAUAAAGAAGAUGUGGUACAUGUGUACAAUGCAGUAUCACCGGCAAUCAAAAAAAAAAAAAAAAAGAAAAGAAAAAAAGAAA